UCUCUCCCUUCACCGACGGCUACUUCUCCUUGUACCCCUGCAAGCUCGAAGAGGUCAACAUCGAGUGCGGCGAGAUCUCAAAAUUUACAGAUCUGAGCUAGCCAUCUUCAAUUUUUCGCUACCCAUUUUGGAAGAUCCAAAGUCCAGGUACUCAAAUGUUCUGUAUUGAGCUGAUUGGAAGUGGUUUUCUUUUUCUUUUUUCUAUUGAUUAUCCUAUUCUCUAAUGGGUUCGCUUCUGUCUCCUUCAUAUCGCUCCUCAACCCCACCUCACUGGCAAAAGGUUAAGCAAAGAGAAGAAGGUUCCUUAAAGCUGAAGCCUUUGUGAAUGAAAUGGGUCUGAGCAGACCUCACAAGGUCGGCAAUGGAAUCGCCACCAGAUGGGUUUUCUCUGUUUUGCAUUGCCAGUUUCUUCUUGGGUGUUCUUGUUAUCAACAGUCGUUGCCAUCAAGAUGUACCACAUCGAUGUGUCCGAGCCCAUACAAAUCCCAGUUCUCAAUUCAAGGUUCAAUAUUGCUUCAAUCUUACAAGCAAUGGAAGCUGGUUUCUUUGCUUGAAUGCAACUCGCUUCUUUUGAAGUGAUUCAAGUUUCCAUAGCUGGGUUAUUUCUCCGUUUCAAUUGUAUUGAAGUACUUGGAGCUCUCAAACUUCAGCUAGACUGGGAACGGAGAGCUAGCAGUGUUGAUCCCAAAAAGUUGAGUCUGGGGCUAUAAGAUAAAAAUCCAAUUGUGAUUGGACCUCCCAAAAUGUUUCCAACUGUGGCUGAAGAAGAAAAGUCGAAAGGGAACCCAAAAGGAGAAGAAGCAGGAAACUAUGAGAUGGUCAGAUGAAAAAGUCAAAAAGAUUAUAUGCAAAAAACUUUUGCCAACAUUUUUCUGCUGCUGUUCCUUUGUCUGCUGCUCAAUAUUAUCUUGGUUUUGUAUUGUUAUUCAGAUUUGGGGAACAGUUUGCAGUCAGAUUCCUUAACUGUUAUUGAUCCAGGGCUACCAAAAGGGAGUAAGAAAUGCAGACACAAACUAAACUCAUGGAGAGGAACAAGUCCAUGAUUGGGUGGACUUCUCUUUAUUAGUAGUAACUUGCAGUAUGUUACAAGCUCGACCUUGGUGCUAUACAUCUUCUCGAAAUCCAUAAGUAGUACACAUCUGAAGCAACAGACUACACAUUUGAAGAACUCAUAUGGAAUGAUUGGUUCAAUCUUGAAAUCUGCUUAGGGGUUGCUUAUAUUCAAGAAGUUGGGAAAGCCAGCCUCUUUUGACACUUUACUGCACAUUUCCUGCUCAAAAUCUCAAACUUGCUACUACUCAGUUUACUCUUUUGAGUGGGCGGUAAAGGAUCGAAAAUGGUAUACCCAACAACAACUUGACGAGGUCCGCAUUGAAGUAGUCGACUACUUACAGACUCUGCUGUAGGUUCUGACCAGUUUCUUGAUUUUGAGUUAGGCUAGCUUUUAAUUAAUUUUUUUGUAGCAAUUAUGAACAAACAUGAAUACUAAUUGCUAGGCUAGCCUUGUAGUAGGUGAAUUGGGGUUUUAUUUUGCCCAUUUUGUAAACUGUUAAGGAUGAUGAUUUUAGAUAUAAUACUCCAAUAUUCAAAUCACUCUUGUCAACUAUUGAAAUUGCAAUUUAUAACAGCAGCUACAUAUUUUGUGGACAUCAUCCUCUUUAUAGAAUGUGAUGUCUAGAUAUAAAGUUGAAAUCAGUUUUAACCAUAAAAACUGAUGUCUAGUAAUACAGAUACAUCAGUUCCAAAAUGAAAAUCGAUGUUACUGAAAUAUACAGACAUCGAUUU